rnacentral:rRNA from 1 species
UACAGAGGGUGCGAGCGUUAAUCGGAAUUACUGGGCGUAAAGCGUGCGCAGACGGUUGCGUAAGUCAGAUGUGAAAGCCCCGGGCUCAACCUGGGAAUUGCAUUUGAGACUGCGUAGCUAGGGUGCGGAAGAGGGAAGCGGAAUUUCCGGUGUAGCGGUGAAAUGCGUAGAUAUCGGAAGGAACACCAGUGGCGAAAGCGGCUUCCUGGUCCAGCACCGACGUUCAGGCACGAAAGCGUGGGGAGUCAAACAGG